AUAAAAUUGAAAAAUUUUUAGGGACAGUGGCAAAAAACAAAAAAAAAAGACUUCGCACUUCUUUACGGUUACACUCUAAAUUAAAAAUUUUUAUAAUUACUUUCUAAAAAAAAAAAAUAAUUACACCCUUUAAAAUCAAGGUACAAGAUCCAUGCUGACAGUUCUCUUUAAGAUCAUUGCUGGGUGUUCUAGACUAUCUCAAAAAAAAAAAGUUUUCAAUGCUGGGAGUUCUCUGUAAGAUCAAGGUCUCCUUAAGAUCAAUGCUGGGAGUUCUAGUAGUCUAUAAACUUGGCUUAGCUUCCAGGAUCUUGUGUGUCUCUUCAUCAGCAACAAAAUCAUGUAUCUUCAUCUGAUCGAGAACCGCAGUGACUGAUUUUCCAGCAGCAAUAUAAGUCCUUACUAAUCUAUGAUAUAUAUCCCUGGUUAGAAGUUCCGAGCGCUUUAAUGACUUUAUAAUUUCCUCCAUUCCUUCAGCAUCUCCUUGUGCUUCCAAGUAAUUCAAACAUGCAGUCAAAGUGGUGGGAUUUGGCUUCCAACCAUUCCUUGAUAUUAAUGCUCUCUUCAACAUCUCGACUGCCUUGGAUAUUUGAUUGUAUUCUUUAUACCCCAUUGCCAAUACGCUCCAGGUGGAUGCAUAGGGGGUUCUUCCCUCUGCAGCUUUCUCUACAGCUGCUUCAGCUUUCUCAAAAAGCCCCUUUUUGCAAUAAGCAAUCAGAAGACUAUUUAGCAUACGAAAGUUAUAAACGGUGCACUGGGACUCCCACUCCUCAAAGAUCUUUUCAGCACCCUCAAUAUCAUCCAGCUUUGAGAGAGAUGCAAUCAUGCAGCCAAAUGCUGUGUCUCUUGAUUCUAUUAACGGCUUGUAUGUCUUCCAGACUCGGUAAAGCUCAUCUUUUUUACCAGUUUCUGCAUACUGUGUCAGAAGAAAAUUAAACGCUACUGUCUUCCUUUUAGAGGUCAUCAUCAUUCCCUCCAUUUUCCUUAACUUCGUCAAAGCUUUGUCAAUUGACCCAAAUUUCAGAUACCCACUUGCAGCAAUUGAAUACACUUCCCAGUCAAGACCAAGCCGAGGAUUCUCUUCUAUCUGAUUCAAGAUUCUUUCCAUUUCAGAAAUGUCAGACACAGCAACACAAGUGGCCAUUAGGUUCCUCAUUGUGUACUUAUCUUGAGGGAUUCCACUUGUUUCCAUUUGCUGUACCAAUAUAUCGAUUUUCUUAAGGUCUCCAGUUUUAGCAUAAAGGUUGAUAAGUAUGUUAUAGGGAAAAGAUGAUGUUGCCAUUCCCUUCUCUCUCAUUUCCUGCAUAAUAGCUUCCGCUUUCUGAACAUAAUUUUCUUGCACAUAGCCGAUGAGAAGAGCACCAUAGACAUGGUAAGUUUUCAACUUAUCUGAAAGUUUCUUGAAAUAAGUUUCUGCAUGUACGGAUCCAUAAAUUCUGUUGAUCAAGUCCAACCUAACAGCAGUAUCAAUAGGUGAUAAUGGCAAGUACCUACGAUCCGUCAUCCAAUGUGAUAUCUGAAAAACAGGAGGAAAAGAUAGGUCAGGAAUUGACAAUAUAAUUAACAUGAAGGAACAAUUUAAUUGUUUAUUCAUGGUUAAAUGCGAGAAAAUAAUGAUUCAUGUAUACAAUGCCAAUUACUUGAGGAAUUAAGGUAGCAUGCUCAAACACGUCAUCUACAUCACUCUACGGUCCAUAACCAUGUUGGAGCCUGAAUGCUUCAAUAGUAGGUUAAAUGUGGUGAAUAGUGAAUAAAAUCCUCAUCAACUGUAAGGCCAUCUUGGUCAUGGAGUAAAGCCAUUGAAAUAGUUGAUGCUACAAAAUUAAAGCUAAAACAUAUCAAAUUAUGAUUUGGGAAUCUUGAACUAAUCAUAUUGUAAGCCUUAAACACCCACUACAUGGCACAUGAACCAGAACAUUACUGCUAAACAGUGUAUAAAUGGCAAAUUUAACGGUUAAUCUCAGAUUGAUGCUGACAUAUUAAAUUUAUGAACAUUUGAGAGGCGGAAACAGCAAAUACACAUUUAAAAUGACUUACCUUUAACCACAGAGCUCAGAUACAUAAAAUGAUUUCAACCCCCCUAUUGCAAAUUCACAAAACAAUUAUUGGACAAUGAGAACUUCAAGAUUUAGGGAUUAAGUUAAGAAAAUCAAACCAAGUUAUGCAAAAAUGUUUAAGCUUUGUAGUUCCAUGAAUGAUUCACAAAUUCACUUAAUCCAUGUAAUUUGAAUUAGCAGGAUCUACAAAAGAAAAUCAUCAUACCAAAAGAGGUAGAAUUUUAUCCAUUAAUGGUUUAUGCUAAUUCGAAGAAAGACGAAAACAGGAAGGGGAAAAAAAAAGGACCUCUAAAGCAUGAUUGAAGCGCCUAUAACACUUCAUGCGCCGAACAAGAUACUGAAGCUGUUCUUUUUGAACAGUGUUUCCUUCACUGACCCAUUUCUCGAGCACUGGUGCUACUGAGGCUUUUGGGUCUCUAACGCGUUCAAUCCGACGAUACAAUGCUAAAACUCGUGGAGAAGAAGAAGAGGGACGGUAAGGUUGGGUUUGGGCUUUAGUGGAGAAGAGUGAAGCUAAAACCCUUGAACAAAUGUAGAUUUGGCGAACCGUAAGUGAUCUGGGAAACGAUUUGGUUGAGAAAUGAAGCUUCAUUUCGUCCCUCUUUGAGAUUUCCCAGCGAUCAGAACUCAGAAGAGGGUUCAAGACUUGGGUUAGUUUACA
rnacentral:misc_RNA from 1 species